rnacentral:rRNA from 1 species
GAUGAACGCUGGCGGCGUGCCUAAUACAUGCAAGUCGAGCGAACGCACGAGAAGCUUUCGUCCCUGCGGUUGGCGACGGACGGGCGGGUAACACGUAGAUCACCUACCUCUUAUUCUUGGAUGACUUCGGGGAACCGGAGCUAAUACCGGAGGAUAUGUUGAACCGCUUGGUUCAAAAGUGCAUGGCGGUCUUGCUGUCACUUAUAGAUGGAUCCGCGCUGCAUUAGCUAGUUGGUAAGGUACCGGCUUACCAAGGCAACGAUGCGUAGCUGACCUGAGAGGGUGAUCGGCCACACUGGAACUGAGACACGGUCCAGACUCCUACGGGAGGCAGCAGUAGGGAAUCUUCCGCAAUGGGCGAAAGCCUGAUGCAGCCACGCCGCGUGAGUGAUGAAGGUCUUCGGAUCGUAAAACUCUGUUAUUAGGGAAGAACAGAUGUGUAAGUAACUGUGCACAUCUUGACGGUACCUAAUGAGAAAGCCCCGGCUAACUACGUG